rnacentral:rRNA from 1 species
GAUGAACGCUGGCGGCGUGCCUAAUACAUGCAAGUCGAGCGAACAGACGAGGAGCUUGCUCCUCUGACGUUAGCGGCGGACGGGUGAGUAACACGUGGAUAACCUACCUAUAAGACUGGGAUAACUUCGGGAAACCGGAGCUAAUACCGGAUAAUAUAUUGAACCGCAGGGUUCAAUAGUGAAAGACGGUUUUGCUGUCACUUAUAGAUGGAUCCGCGCCGCAUUAGCUAGUUGGUAAGGUAACGGCUUACCAAGGCAACGAUGCGUAGCCGACCUGAGAGGGUGAUCGGCCACACUGGAACUGAGACACGGUCCAGACUCCUACGGGAGGCAGCAGUAGGGAAUCUUCCGCAAUGGGCGAAAGCCUGACGGAGCAACGCCGCGUGAGUGAUGAAGGUCUUCGGAUCGUAAAGCUCUUUUAUUAGGGAAGAACAAAUGUGUAAGUAACUAUGCACGUCUUGACGGUACCUAAUCAGAAAGCCACGGCUAACUACGUG